ensembl:lincRNA Gm20442 predicted gene 20442
UUCAGGUAGGAACAGAGCUUCCUGGCUGGGCGUGCCUGAGAGAUUUGGCCAUUCAGUUCCUCGGAGCAGGCGUUCCAGCCUCUGGUGGCCGGUGCUGGGAUCACAGAGCUCUCAAUUUAGGUGGCCCUGAGUUUCAGGAUUCACUGACUCCCGGAAGUGAUUCUAGAUGCGACUGCUUGUGGCUACUGAGGUUGUCCUCGGAGGCCAAAGGCGUCAGAUACGACACCUGGAAGUUGAAUUUACAGAAUUGCCAGCUGCCCAACAUGGAUUCUUGGAACCAAACCUUUAGAAUUCAACAAACAAACAACCCAGGGGGCUGGAGAGAUGGCUCAGCACUCAAGAGCACUGACUGCUGCUCUUCCAGAGGUCCUGAGUUCAAUUCCCAGCAACCACAUGGUGGUUCAUCUGUAAUGAGUUCCAAUGCCCUCUUCUGGUGUGUCUGAAGACAGCGACAUAAAAUGAAUAAAUCUUUUUAAAAACCCAA